AGGGAGCGAGCCAUCUGCGUCUGGGCUUUCUGGCUGAGAUGGAAGCAGUCGGCACUGAAGUAGGAGCGAUCAGGGCGACCAUCCUGUAGAAGAGUGCAACACUGACGAUGGUCUUCUUCAGCUGUGGCACAGGGGGGUGAAACAAAAUGACCCAUUCCUCAUGGAAUUACCUGAGAAUGCAGCAGCUGCAGAGCCUCAUCCACCUCUUUGACCACAUGUCUGAUAAUGGUCUGAGCCUGCAACAAAAACAAACUGAG